rnacentral:rRNA from 1 species
AUUGAACGCUGGCGGCAUGCUUUACACAUGCAAGUCGAACGGUAACAGGCCUUCGGGUGCUGACGAGUGGCGAACGGGUGAGUAAUGCAUCGGAACGUACCCAGAGGUGGGGGAUAACGCAGCGAAAGCUGUGCUAAUACCGCAUGUGAUCUGAGGAUGAAAGCGGGGGACCGAGCAGCAAUGUUUGGCCUCGCGCCUUUGGAGCGGCCGAUGUCGGAUUAGCUAGUUGGUGGGGUAAAGGCCUACCAAGGCGACGAUCCGUAGCUGGUCUGAGAGGACGACCAGCCACACUGGGACUGAGACACGGCCCAGACUCCUACGGGAGGCAGCAGUGGGGAAUUUUGGACAAUGGGCGCAAGCCUGCUCCAGCAAUGCCGCGUGCUGGAAGAAGGCCUUCGGGUUGUAAACCGCUUUUGGCAGGAACGAAACGGUGUCCGCUAAUACCGGGCGCUAAUGACGGUACCUGCAGAAUAAGCACCGGCUAACUACGUG